AGCAGUCGCCGCGGGAAUACGUAGGUGGCAAGCGUUGUCCGGAAUUAUUGAGCGUAAAGGGCUCGCAGGCGGUUUCUUAAGUCUGAUGUGAAAGCCCCCGGCUCAACCGGGGAGGGCCAUUGGAAACUGGGAGGCUUGAGUAUAGGAGAGAAGAGUGGAAUUCCACGUGUAGCGGUGAAAUGCGUAGAGAUGUGGAGGAACACCAGUGGCGAAGGCGACUCUUUGGCCUAUAACUAACGCUGAGGCGCGAAAGCGUGGGGAGCAAACAGGAUUAGAUACCCCAGUAGUCCCUGUCUCUUAUAC
rnacentral:rRNA from 1 species